UCUUCAUUGCUGCGUGUGGGCUUUCUCUAGUUGUGGCGAGCAAGGGCUGCUCUCUGGUUGCAGAGCACAGGCUUCUCACUGCAGUAGCUUCUCUUGUUGCAGAGCACAGAUCUAGAUCACGGGCUCAGUAGUUGUGGCACAUGGGCUUAGUUGCCCCAUGGCAUGUGGGAUCUUCUUGGACCAGGGAUUGAACCUGUGUUUCAUGCAUUGGCAGGUGGAUUCUUAACCACUCGACCACCAGGGCAGCCUCUAAACAGGCUACCUUUUUUUUUUUUUUUUUAACUUAUUUGACAUGUAUUCCUUGUGCUCUGGCUUAUCUGCCAAACUCUGCACAUUCGGUGCUAGGCAGACCUGAUAAGUGAGAACCAGACCCUGCCCUGGGAGCUUAGUUUAUGAGGUUUGGUCCUGGCUUUCAGAAAAUGGUUGCCUUGACAAAACAGCGGAAACCAGUUUCUGUUCAUCUUUGAGAAUACGACAGAGUCACAUCUGAGGUGAUGGUACAGCUCUCCAGCUAAUCGAAUUCAGACCAUGAUCAGAAAUUAACCUUGAAAGCCCUUGGUUGGAGAGACGUUCCACUGGAGGCGGUCGUGAUUUCUCGCUGUCAGCCCAACACAGCUGGGUUUCUCCGGCUUUGGAGAAGGUUGUUGAUUGCUCAGCUGAGCACCAGAUGAAGCUGGCCAAAUGUUAGAGGCUGUCUUACACGAAAACAGCAGAUAUUUAUGUGCUGGACUCAUGCUGAGGGCUGAGAGGUGCUCGGGGCUGAUACUGCAUGCACCCCAGAGAGGAAAGGCAGGUGAACCCUUACCUUAGCACUUACAUGUAUUUUAGUCUAUCUUUUCUCUCGUUACCAUGCCAUUGUUAAUAUCACUAUUCUGCAGAGUCCCAUAGUUGAAUGAAUGUACAGAACAUAACUGCAUACAUUGUAGGACCAGACUGUAGCAUAAAUUUUUCUUAAAAGUUCUUGCCUUUCACUAUGAGAGUUAUCUUUUCUCAGAAUGAAAUUUGGCCAGCUCAGCUGUCCGUGUGGCUCUGCUGACGGAUCACAGUCUUCCAGCCAAGUUGGGUCUUGUCCACAGUGAUCUGGUAGCCAAUUUUCUGAAUAAAUCACAAAAUCACUCCAGAGUUGGUAUAUUUACCCCAAAACUCCUCUUCUAUUGCUGUGCACACAGAAGAGUUGUGAAUGUACUUUGCAUUUUACAGUAUUUUAUACAGCGUGGCAUUUACCAAAGCGUUGGAAGAGGGGAGAUUGCAGAGCAAAGGGGCAGUUUAGGGCCUCUAAGAGA
ensembl:lncRNA